AUUGAACGCUGGCGGCAUGCUUUACACAUGCAAGUCGAACGGCAGCACGGACUUCGGUCUGGUGGCGAGUGGCGAACGGGUGAGUAAUACAUCGGAACGUACCCAGUAAUGGGGGAUAACUAUCCGAAAGGAUAGCUAAUACCGCAUACGCCCUACGGGGGAAGGAGGGGGAUCGCAAGACCUCUUGUUAUUGGAGCGGCCGAUGGCUGAUUAGCUAGGUGGUAGGGUAAAGGCCUACCAAGGCAACGAUCAGUAGCGGGUCUUAGAGGACGAUCCGCCACACUGGAACUGAGACACGGUCCAGACUCCUACGGGAGGCAGCAGUGGGGAAUCUUGGACAAUGGGCGCAAGCCUGAUCCAGCAAUGCCGCGUGCGUGAAGAAGGCCUUCGGGUUGUAAAGCGCUUUUGUCAGGGAGCAAAUCCUUGUGGCUAAUACCCACCGGGGAUGAGAGUACCUGGAGAAUAAGGACCGGCUAACUACGUGCCAGCCGCCGCCGUAAAAC
rnacentral:rRNA from 1 species